rnacentral:rRNA from 29 species
GUAAUGUCUGGGAAACUGCCUGAUGGAGGGGGAUAACUACUGGAAACGGUGGCUAAUACCGCAUAACGUCGCAAGACCAAAGAGGGGGACCUUCGGGCCUCUUGCCAUCAGAUGUGCCCAGAUGGGAUUAGCUUGUUGGUGAGGUAACGGCUCACCAAGGCGACGAUCCCUAGCUGGUCUGAGAGGAUGACCAGCCACACUGGAACUGAGACACGGUCCAGACUCCUACGGGAGGCAGCAGUGGGGAAUAUUGCACAAUGGGCGCAAGCCUGAUGCAGCCAUGCCGCGUGUAUGAAGAAGGCCUUCGGGUUGUAAAGUACUUUCAGCGGGGAGG